rnacentral:rRNA from 1 species
UCGGGAAUUUUUGGCAAUGGGCGAAAGCCUGACCCAGCAACGCCGCGUGAAGGAUGAAGUAUUUCGGUAUGUAAACUUCGAAAGAAUAGGAAGAAUAAAUGACGGUACUAUUUAUAAGGUCCGGCUAACUACGUGCCAGCAGCCGCGGUAAUACGUAGGGACCAAGCGUUGUUCGGAUUUACUGGGCGUAAAGGGCGCGUAGGCGGCAUGACAAGUCACUUGUGAAAUCUCUGGGCUUAACCCAGAACGGCCAAGUGAUACUGUCGCGCUAGAGUGCAGAAGGGGCAAUCGGAAUUCUUGGUGUAGCGGUGAAAUGCGUAGAUAUCAAGAGGAACACCUGAGGUGAAGACGGGUUGCUGGGCUGACACUGACGCUGAGGCGCGAAAGCCAGGGGAGCAAACGGGAUUAGAUACCCUAGUAGUCCCUGAGCGGGCUGGCAAGGCGCAU